GGGCCGAGGAGUAGGGGAAGCAGUUCUCUCAGCUGGCGGGCAGUGGACUGUGCUGGGCUCAGAGAAGAGGCAAAAACAACAGCACAGAGAUGCCCUGAGCAGAGAAGGAAGGGAUUCUGGAAUGCUGUGGCAUUGAAUACAAUUGGGGUCCUCAUGGCCAGGGGGACAGAAAUGUCCCAGCUCACGGGCAUAUACUAUGGGUAGGGGGCAACCCGGUGGAAAUAGCUUGGGGCCGGCGAGAGCAAGGUAAGCUGGGUCCGGGUCCAUUUAGCGAGCAUCAAGACAGCGGCGUCCAAGUCUUCAGGCGACCAGGGCCUCCAGGAGACAGCGCUUCCUGCCACUGCUCAGGACUUGGUCUUUUAUAGGGAAAGACUUGCUUGGGAGUCUUCCAAGAGCUUUUAAAUGAGUCUGGACCUGGGAGCUCCAGUGACGAUUCUUUGAUGUGGCUUCAUAGUCUUUGGUUUUAAAAGGCCAGGAAGAUUCGCAGACUUUAAGAGGCCGCACGCCCCUCGCGCUGCCGGGAGUCUGGGCGGCGGUGAGCGCUCAGGAGCAGAUGCGUGAAUCUCUUCUCAGGCGAUCCCAGAGACAUGAAGGGGUCCCAGGCCAAAUCAAAAUGUUUUCAACUGUAUGACAUGUGUGAAGUUGAUGAAAAUUCAUGACUUCUUUCCAUCUGGGCUGUUUCAGCUUAAGUCAUCAGAGAAAGACUUCCCUUCCAGCUCGGCAAGAGGGUGCAACUGUGACCCUUAGCAAAGCCCCCUUCAGACCACCAGCCUCAGGACAAACACGUUAGUUUGGAUAACCAUUUCACAAACAAUAAUCAAAAGGCUAUCUUUCUUCAAGAUACAGGACUGAGAUGAACUGAAUGGCUGUGAUUAUCAGGACAAGAACGUCUACCUCAGAAUCACUCUUCCUGGGGCAUUCUCUUCUUUAGCAAAGCAGCUAGUCUGUACCCCUCCUCUCUCUCCCCCCACCCCCAUAUGUUUCAUUCAGGUUGCUAACAGGAGCAUGGGUGAGGGGAACACAAACAACUUUCUCUGGCUACACCAUUGAAGAAAUUGUCUCCCCUGCCUGGUUCAGAAACCAGUAACUGCUUGUGAAUCCUUCAGACUGUUUCCUGAGGCAUUUGGAGCUACUUAGCUACAUUAACAUGGGAUAAAGAAUUUUCCUGGAUGAAGAAGCCCUGAGAUGAAGACAGACUAGCCCUGGAUUUUGUUACCUAUCGGUAAACCCACUGUCUCUUUUGGGCAUAUUUGAAAAGAGAUGCUAUACGAAGUCUUCAAAGCUGUGAUUUCUCAUGCGCAGGGACAGGAGGACAGUGUUAGGAGGAGAGCUCAGCCUUUAGCCUGUUGACAAGGUCAUUCUAAGCGGCUCCCUGAGGUUUCCCAUGUGAACUUGGCCAACAGGACAUGAGCCAACCCGCGGAAGCUCCCAUGAUGACCAAUGUGAAGGUUCUCUUCUUCAAGCUUUAGAUCAAAGCCUUGUGCUUCGUGCUGAGUUGCAAAGAAGAAGAAUUAGCUGCCUUAGCACCAAGAUGCUGCUGUUCUUUAGUAACAAUGUGCUCCACACAUUUCCCAGAACGUCACAUUAAGGUGAUUGGGGGAGAGAUAUUGGGAUGAAAUUGAAUCUGGAGAAUUCUUUGGACUCUUCCAUGAACUGAAACUAGGAUGUUUCACAAGAAGAUGGUAGAGUAUUAAAAAACAUGAGAAAAAGAUGCAGAUGAUUUCACGAUGGCGAAUGACUUUGUCAAAUGAAUGUGACAUUUUAAAAUCAUCGCACAAGUCACCCAAGGACAUAAAUGAAGAAAACUUCAGGUCGCUGUCUACCUGGGCAUUGUGUCUCCUCACUGCUACUACCCUGUCCCUUUGGCUGCCUUUAGUCAUCCUCCCCUGCCCCAACACUAUACCUAACAGACAGGCUUGGUGUCCUAGGACACUGGGGUCAAAUGGCUGGAGGUCUGGAGGUCAGCAACCAGAGAGAUGGUGGCUCCUGUGUCUUUCCUUGUUCCUCGCUCCACCCUGUUUCACCACCACCUCUCACGAACACUUGUUUCCCAGCACUAGGAGGGUUUCAGAUGGAAUAAAACGGCCA